GAUCCUGGCUCAGGAUGAACGCUGGCGGCGUGCUUAACACAUGCAAGUCGAACGGGGAACCCCUGAAAGAGGAUUCGUCCAAUUGAAGGGAAUUCCUAGUGGCGGACGGGUGAGUAACGCGUGAGGAACCUGCCUUGGAGAGGGGAAUAACAGUCCGAAAGGACUGCUAAUACCGCAUGAUGCAGUUGGGUCGCAUGGCUCUGACUGCCAAAGAUUUAUCGCUCUGAGAUGGCCUCGCG
rnacentral:rRNA from 1 species